GAUGAACGCUGGCGGCGUGCCUAAUACAUGCAAGUCGAGCGAAGCGGGGACGGGUGAGUAACACGUGGAUAACCUCCUAUAAGCCUGGGAUAACUUCGGGAAACCGGAGCUAAACCGGCUACUUAUAGAUGAAUCCGCGCGGUAUUAGCUAGUGAGUAAGGUAACGGCUUACCAAGGCAACGAUGCAUAGCCGACCUGAGAGGAGGAACGGCCACACUGGAACUGAGAGAAGGGCCAGACUACUACGUGAGGCAGAAGUAGGGAAUAUUGCGCAAUGGGCGAAAGCCUGACGCAGCAAUGCCGCGUGAGUGAUGAAGGUCUUCGGAUCGUAAAUCGCUGUUAUUCGGGAAGAAGUACCGAAUCCGAAAGCCACGGCUAACUACGUGCCAGCAGCCGCGGUAAUUC
rnacentral:rRNA from 1 species